GUCACCCCAAAUGAGCCAAUCAGCACAAGACAUCUGGAAGUGCACACUGAACUAGGGGAUGAAUGGGAGGGCUCUGGCCAUGGUAAGGACAGGUGUCCUGCAGUACCAUGCACCUAAGGCUACUCCAGACUUGGAUGGUUGUAGCCGCUAAGGUACAGGCGAGCCUGACUCUGGGAAGAAAGGGACCCUGUGAGGUACCACUGCCCUCAGGAGACUUCAGUGCGGGUAGCUCAGAAGUGAGAAAUGGGGCAGGACCUGGCAGUCCUGAGUGGGAACCAGCCGUGGGAGGUGGCCGGUGCUCGUUUGUGUUUUGUCUAGGGGGGAGAGGCAUUCUCGUUUCCUUUUUGCCCUUCCUUAGGAUUUACUAAGGCCCUCUGGGAAGUUUCAGCUGCCUCAGCUCUGGGCGUGUGUAUGCACGUGUGUCUCUUCUUGGGGAAUGAGGUGGCCCGAGGGGGAAGGGUUGGCUCAGGACCAGGAGGAGGGGGACGCUGGAAGCUGGGUUUUUGCGAGGGAUGCUCUCCCCUCCCCUGGCACACCUUGUCCCAGUAGCUGGCGGCCCAGGGCUGAACUGGGACUAUUUCUUCCUUUUGAUUCUGGCAAAAGCUACAGGAGGGAGUUCCCCUUCUCUGUUUGUUUUGAUUCUGUUGUUUUCUUAAAGAGAGGAAGGAAAACCAUCAUCACUUUUUCGGUUUUGUGAACAAAGGCAGGCAGAGAGGAUGUUCGCUGGGGCAGGGGAUGUGGGGGCUGGGCCUCCCCUUCCCCUCCCCCUCCCCUUCUCUCCAGCAGCUCCACCCCCCUCCUACCCCAGAACACAGACCAGGCCCCACAGUGUGGGGUCAAGGUUAGGUGCGGGCUCUGCCUUUUAAUAGCUUUGGACCGCUCUGAGGUGCAUCUGUGAAAAUGGGAGUUGUCAGAUCGGCUUGACAGGAUUGUUGAGGUUCAAAACAAAAGAAAAUACUAACCUGUAAAAACACAGGGACUGGCCCACAGCAAAUGCUCCAGAAAUGUCUUUCUUUUGCUUCCUUCCUUUGGGGAAGGGGGUCGGUCAGUCGGUCGGUCUCUCCCUUUGGCCUGGUUGUGUGGCGGUGGGGGGAACUUCCCCACUGAAAGCCCCCUCCCAUCUUCCUGCUGGUCUGUGUGAAGCUGCCUUCUGCCUCAGCAGGACCUGCAGUGCAGGCCUUGGGAAAGGCUCUGAGGAGAAAUAACAGGGAUUCCCCCGGUGUGGUUCCCCAGCGCCAGUGUUGUCUGAUUCCAGUCUGGUGCUCCUUGGUUCCUGAGCCAGCCUGAGGAGUCUGAGCAUUCUGUCACUUGCGACCAAGCAGUGUUAAUACAGAGAAGUCGCCACUAUGGGAAUGGAGAGGAGCUGGAUCCUGAAGUGGACGUGUCUGGACUUGGUGAGUAGUGCUUCUAUGGGGUGGGCAGCUGUGAAGGAAUCUAGUUUCCUUAUCUGGAAUCUGGAUGGGAUAUCCUGCCUAGGUGCUAGGUGGUGUAUCCCAGACAGGAAGUGAGGAGUAGGAGGGAUGUGAGAGGAGAGAUCCUGGAGCUGGAGGAUGAGGCGGGAAGGAGGGAGAUGAACUCAAGGCAGCUGGGGGCCUGGGGGAGAAAGAGCGCUUUGUAACAGGAACCAAUCUGGGUGAUGUGAUUCCCUCUGCCUCAAAUAUUGCCUGAUGCUUUGUUAUACACCAGGCAGUGUACUGGUUAAUAAAACAGUUUGGGGAUGGGUAUUGUUAUCCCCGUCUUACAUGUAAAGAAAGGGUGAUACAGAGAAGUGAAACAGCUUGUACAAAAUCAGAAAAUCAGGGACCAAAAUUCAAACCUGGGUCUAACUGCUAUGCUGAUGCUCUUAAGAACCUAAACAGAUGCUCAGAUGAGGGAACAAAGUCUCUGCCUCAGUCCCUGAGUUUUUAUAUACUUCCAAUGAGUCCUUUAAGUAAAAUAUUCUCCCUGUAAGUACUUUGUGAGGCAAUGCAGUUGAGUAAUAGAAUCUGGGGGCCUGGUUCACUUUGUAAAUACCAAUUCUUUCAUCCUCUUCCCCUACCGGGGUCCAGUCAAAUGAGCACCAAUACAGACAGUUGGUUACCCACCCCGUGGCCCUUCCACUCCCCUUCUCUCAGCACCCACCUAGGUUGCUUUUAAGUGUUCAUGCUUAUCCUUCUGGGACCAGGGUUAGUACUGUGGCAUUAAUAGUGACAUUACCCCCCUUGCUUGGGAUAGAUUCAAGCAUGCGAUGCGACUCAAUUCUGGCCAAUGAGCAGUGAAGAAUAGAUUCCUAUUUGUUUAUAGGGGGCUUCUGAGAAAAACUUUCCUUGAUCUUAAAAUGGGACACAAUGAUGAGAUGUUUUCUGGGGAUUUAUUUAUUUAUUUAUUUUGCUGCUGUGCACAUUGUGUGGUGAUGUGAUGUCUGGGGUGGGCGCAACCAUCUUGCAACUGUGAGGCGAGCUAGCCAAGGACGAGGCGACGUGCUGAGAAUGGCAGAAGGGAAGGAAAAGAGGAAGUCUGGGUCACUCAUGAUGAUGUUGAGCUGCAGGAUUAACCUCUUCUGAAGCUAUUGUUCCUCUGGACUUCUUGUUCUCUGAGAUAAGACACUUUCCUUAUUGUCUAAGCCACCUGAAAGAAGUUCUCUGUUUCUGGCCACUGAAAAGACCUUUACCGAUGUAUAAGCCACGGGUUCAAAAGAAUGUACACCCAAUGUGCUAAUGUGAUAUGCUGACAGCUGGAGCAACAGCAUUGGUUAAAGGGGAAAACCAGAUUCCUUGACCAAGGGAGGCACUGAAAAGUCCUUUCUCUGCUGGUUCAGUGGGGAGAGAGUGUGGCAGCCUGAGGCCCUGCACUCUGCAUCUCGUCCACGCAUGUGGGAGGCCUCCUAUCAGAGGAGAGGUCUGCUCCUGGCCAGCCGAACUUCUGACUCCUAUUUCCUGUAGGGUCAGCAGAGGAAAGCAGCUUUAUUUACUGAGUCAGGAUGGAAAACAGAUGUCUAAGCACCCCGCUGGGCCCGGGCUCACCCUGGACAGAGGCCGGGCCUGUUCUCAGCCCUGACCCGCCCACCAACCUCUUGUUCCCCAUAUCGAGUCCAGAUGUGGCUUCUUCCAAGCUCUAAUAAUAAUUUUGAUUUGUUGCAGCUAAAUAAACUAUACCCCUCCCAACUCAACCCUUGACUCGCUAACUCUCCAAGGAGUAUGGAAGCAAUGCUAUGAAACAUUUGUAAGGAACCCCGGGUGGGGCAGAGAGGAAUGUGAACUUGGGAAGCAGAGCAACGUGGGUUCAGCUGCAGCCUGGUCUCAUAUUAACUGAGUGAUUUCAACCCUUGUAUCAGUCAUGAAUUGCUGUGUAACAAGCCACCACAAAAGUCAGUGGCUCAAAA